AAAUGGGCAGUUAUGUCUGAGAUUCAUUCACGUGAGGUGCACAUCUCACUUAGGCAGGAGAAUCGAAUGAAGAGUGGAAACCUCGGGAAGGCCAGCAACACCAGGGGAAAGGAAUGUUCGUUCUUCCUAAAUGUGUCUUUAUUAAUGUUAUCAUUCCAAACGUACAGUGCUGCCAUCCCUUAGGAAAGAUGCUGUCUAUUUGAGGACCACUGGCUCUGCAUGUUGAUUUGAAAAGAGAUAAAAGAGCAUCUGGCCACCAUAGGACAGGCUGCACCAUCCCCUCCCUCUUCAUUAUGCACUGAGCCGAUGUGUUUUUUUCUUCUUUCCUAUUUAUACAGAUAAAGAGAACGAUUUGAGAAAUAUGUCAUGCUGGCAUUAAACACCACCAGUCUUGCUGGGUUGAAAUGUACACGUUUCAUUAACAACAAUUAAAUUGUAUAAUUAAGG